ACAGACUGUCACUGUCUGUCAGAGAUGCAGUGUGGAUUUAGAACUUUGUCAACUCGAUACUGCCACUCGACAUGUGCAAGACGCGAAAAUGCCACUGCAUGAGGCCAUGGAGAAGGAAUCGUUGAAUUUUAAUCAACUGUGUACGUUUGAGAGCUUCGAGAAAGUGUGGAAUCAUUACGGUUAUAAGAGUGUCUUCCAAGACGUGAUAGAACGGGAGUUCUCAAGGAUUAAAGGCAUUACAUACCUGGAUCAUGCUGGAACAACACUAUAUCCUGAGUCAUUGGUGAGAGAAUUCUAUCAGGAUAUCUGCACGAAUGUAUAUGGCAACCCUCACAGCCAUAACCCUAGCAGCAGACUGACACAUGACACAGUGGAGCAUGUCAGAUACAGGAUAUUGCAGCAUUUUAACACCACUCCUGACGAAUACUCAGUGAUUUUCACGUCUGGCAGUACGGCGGCUCUCAAAUUAGUCGCUGAGAGCUUUCCCUGGAGGCCUCCCACUGCUGCGGAGCCAGCCAGUCAGUUCUGCUAUCUGACCGAUAACCAUACCUCAGUGGUUGGUAUCAGAGGAGUUAUUUCAGCACUGGGAGUAGUUUCUCUACCUGUCUCCCCCGAGGAGAUAGAGGCCAGAGCCAAAGAUGUGGACCAGAGUGAAGGUAGCAGUUGCCAGACACCACACCUCUUCUGUUACCCAGCACAGAGCAAUUUCUCUGGCAGAAAAUACCCUCUGGGGUACGUGAGGGGCAUCCAGGCGCGGCAGCUCUACCCAGCGUGUGAUAGCAAGGGCCGGUGGUUCGUCCUGCUGGAUGCUGCCUCUUUUGCCAGCUGCUCUCCUCUGGAUCUGCAGGAGCACUCAGCUAACUUUGUUCCCUUCUCCUUCUAUAAGAUGUUUGGCUUCCCCACAGGUUUAGGGGCUCUCCUGGUCCGGAAUGAUACAGCUGCCCUCCUAAGAAAGACGUAUUUUGGUGGGGGGACAGCAGCGGCCUACCUAGCAGGGGAUAACUAUUAUGUGCCAGCGUCAAAUAUGUCUAGCCGGUUUGAAGAUGGCACCGUCUCUUUCCUAGACAUCAUUGCUCUAAAUCAUAGUUUUGAUUCUCUCCACACGCUCACAGGAGGUAUGGACAAGAUCCAGCUGCAUACAUUUGGUUUAACACGCUAUACCUACAUGUUGCUGUCUAGUCUUUGCCAUGGCAACGGACAACCGGUUGCUCAGAUAUACUCCGACAGUGAGUUUGAGAACCCGAGCACACAGGGAGCCAUCCUCAACUUCAACUUGAUGGACUGUCAUGGACAAAUGAUUGGAUACUCUCAGGUGGACAAGCUGGCUAGUCUUUUUAAUAUCCAUUUGCGGACAGGUUGCUUCUGCAACACAGGUGCCUGUCAGCUCUUCCUUGGCAUCACCAAUCAAGUGGUGAAGAGCAACCUACAGGCGGGUCAUGUCUGUGGAGACAACAUAGACCUGGUAGACGACCGUCCAACGGGAUCUGUGCGUGUAUCUUUCGGCUACAUGUCAACCUUCCAGGACUGCCAAAACUUCCUGAACUUCGUUGCGGAUUGCUUUGUGGAUAAACCAGUAAAAGUGGACCAAGAUAAACUAGACAGACUGAAAUCGAACACCUCUUCUAAAGGUUCCAGUCAAUGUCUGCUUACCAAUGGUAAACCUGACCACAUAGAUGAGAGAGAGCAUGCAUCUACAGAUCUAGUUGUGAACCAACGUGGAGGGAAGGCCAUCACCAAAGAUGCAAAGAGCCAUGAGAAGGCCCAGACUCUGACUAACAUUUACAUAUAUCCAAUCAAAUCCUGUGCAGCGUUUGAGGUGACUGACUGGCCAGUGGGUGCUCUGGGUCUGCUCCAUGACCGGGGCUGGAUGGUGGUGAAUGGUAAUAGAGUGUGUCUGAACCAAAAGAGAGAACCACGCUUAUGCCUCAUUCAUCCACAGAUCUACCUGCCCUCAAACACGAUGCUCCUGCAGGCCUCAGGAAUGAACACUAUUUGUGUCCCUUUGAAAAACCACAGUGAGCCACCCCAGAGUCAUAGGGUGUGUCAAAACAUGGUGUGUGGUGACAGGGUGGAGACAGUGGACUGUGGCGAUGAAGCUGCAUCAUGGCUCUCAGAGUUCCUUGGACAGCCUUGUCGUUUGAUAAGGCAAAGUCCUGAUUUCAGUCGCGACAUGAAAAAGGGCCAUGAAAAAGGACUUGCCCCAGAGGUCUCGUCCACUGCCCUCUCAUUGGUGAAUGAAGCCCAGUACCUAAUAGUCAACCGUGCCAGUGUCGAUUUGCUUCAGAGACAUAUCACAAACAGACAGGAAUCCUCUGAUGACCAUCAGCCUCUUGACACCCAGACGCUUAUUAGUCGAUUUCGGGCCAAUUUAGUCAUCUCUGGAAAGGAGCCAUUUGAGGAAGAUGAUUGGUCACACUUGAUUAUUGGAAAUACCCAUUUCCAGGUGGCAGGUCGGUGUGGCAGAUGCCAGAUGAUCGGGGUUGAUCAGAGCACAGGAGCCAAGACCAAGGAGCCUCUUCUGUCUCUCUCUGCCUAUCGCAAGGGGAAGGGUUAGUGUUUGAGGUACUGGCACCUCGCUUCUCCUCCUGCAUUCACUCAGACAUGGUGUGGCAGAUUGUGUGCUGGAAGCUUCUGGAGAAGGUCCUGGAGUGCUGGCUGGAGAGUGUGAUCACUGGGCAGGUGCAGGCUGUCAACAGGCCCAACAGAGGUCCAGGAUCAUGGGGAACCUGGUGUUGAAGGACAAAAAGGAACGGUUUGUCAUCACCCAAUCCCCUCUGGAGCAGCAGCUUGAUGUGAGACGGGCUCUGCUGCUGUGUGUGGGACGACUGAGUGAUACAGGGCUACAGGAGCUACGCUCGGAUACACUACGACACAGUACUGUGUCACACGAUCAGAGCUGUUCACAUUACUUUCUGACCUGUCCACCUCCGGGUUGUGUUCAUUUGAGAAAUGAACAACAACAAAAAUCCUUAACAUUUUGUUAUGGGAAGUGUCCAUGUAGUUCCGUCUUGUUGAAGACUAUUUUCUCCUGUUUGGUGCUUCAUGAUCACGACCCUUCUAUCCUUUCCUCUGUCAGAACUGCUACAGUUCAUGCUGGGAGAGAUGCAGAGCCACCUGGAUAGCAGCGUAGUGCGUGUGAGGGGCAUGGUGGUGGGGGAGUGUCUCCACUCCUGCAUGGACCUCAAUGGAGCCAAGCUGAAAUUCGAGGAUGAGGAGACAAAAGGAGCUGCUCUCAAGGAUGAUCACUGGCUGAUGAAGAAACGGAGCCGCUUGAUGACAGAUUGGGCAGACUGUAUCCGCACAGGUUGUACCAUCCCAGGCUGCUUCACUGGCCCAAAAAUCAGGAGCUGACCCAGAUUCAGAGCUGGAUAGUGAUGAUUCGCUCACCCCUACUGACCAGGAGAUGAGCCAAUCCACCCCACCUCGCUACAUCCGAGACCUCUUGAUGCCUUUAUCUCCUCUGACCCAGUGAGGCUGGAGCUCAAUCAGAGAGCUGUUGAGGGACUGGUUAGGAAGAACAGUUCUACAGGCAGUGAGGUGAGAGGUCACAUGGUUUAGAUGAUAAAUAUUU